rnacentral:rRNA from 1 species
GACGAACGCUGGCGGCGUGCCUAACACAUGCAAGUCAGGGAGAAAAAGGUAGCAAUAUCUUGAGUAAACCGGCGAACGGGUGAGUAUAACGUAGGCAACCUUCCUCGUGAACGGGGAUAACUCCGGGAAACCGGAAUUAAUACCCGAUGACAUCCAGGAGGAGCAUUUCUUCUGGAUCAAAGGCCCGCAAGGGCGUCACGAGAUGGGCCUGCGCCCCAUUAGAUAGUUGGCGGGGUAAAAGCCCACCAAGUCAACGAUGGGUAGCUGGUCUGAGAGGACGACCAGCCACACUGGAACUGAGACACGGUCCAGACUUCUACGGAAGGCAGCAGUGAGGAAUAUUGCUCAAUGGGCGAAAGUCUGAAGCAGCGACGCCGCGUGAAGGAUGAAAUCCGUUAGGAUGUAAACUUCUUUUAUAGGGGAAGAAUAGCCCGGUUACCGGGUNUGACUGUACCCUAUGAAUAAGCACCGGCCAACUACGUGCCAGCAGCCGCGGUAA